rnacentral:rRNA from 1 species
CACACUGGAACUGAGACACGGCCCAGACUACUACGGGAGGCAGCAGUGGGGAAUAUUGGACAAUGGGGGCAACCCUGAUCCAGCCAUGCCGCGUGUGUGAAGAAGGCUUUCGGGUUGUAAAGCACUUUCAGUGAGGAGGAAAACUCUGCGACUAAUACUCGUAGGGCUUGACGUUACUCACAGAAGAAGCACCGGCUAACUCCGUGCCAGCAGCCG